rnacentral:rRNA from 1 species
AGUGGAUGGGGAGCAACCUAGUUGUGCGUGUGUAAAGGUAGUGCCAAGAAAAGCGGUGAUCAUGAUGAAAAUCAAUUCCCGGUACCCGAAACCGACACAGGUGGGCGAGUAGAGAAUACUAAGGGGCGCGAGGUAACUCUCUCCAAGGAACUCGGCAAAAUGACCCCGUAACUUAGGGAGAAGGGGUGCCACCGAGAGGUGGUCGCAGUGAAGAGGCCCAGGCGACUGUUUAGCAAAAACAUAGGUCUCUGCAAACUCGAAAGAGGAGGUAUAGGGGCUGACGCCUGCCCAGUGCCGGAAGGUUAAAGAAGUUGGUCAGUCUUAGGAUAAAGCUAGCGACUGAAGCCCCGGUGAACGGCGGCCGUAACUAUAACGGUCCUAAGGUAGCGAAAUUCCUUGUCGGGUAAGUUCCGACCCGCACGAAAGGCGUAACGAUCUGGGCGCUGUCUCGGAGAGAGAGAGGCUCGGCGAAAUAGGAUUGUCUGUGAAGAUACGGACUACCUGCAUUUGGACAGAAAGACCCUAUGAAGCUUUACUAUAGCUUGGAAUUGUGUUCGGGCUUCCUGUGCGCAGGAUAGGUGGGAGGCGAAGAAGGUAUUCUUGUGGGGAUACUGGAGCCAACGGUGAGAUACCACUCUCAGGAGGCUAGAAUUCUAACUUAAUUAAGGACAGUUUCAGGUGGGUAGUUUGACUGGGGCGGUCGCCUCCAAAAAGGUAACGGAGGCGUACAAAGGUUCCCUCAGACUGGUUGGAAAUCAGUCGCAGAGUGCAAAGGCAGAAGGGAGCUUGACUGCGAGAAGUACAGUUCGAGCAGGGUGGAAACACGGUCUUAGUGAUCCGACGGUGCUGUGUGGAAGGGCCGUCGCUCAACGGAUAAAAGUUACUCUAGGAUAACAGGCUGAUCUCCCCCAAGAGUUCACAUCGACGGGGAGGUUUGGCACCUCGAUGUCGGCUCAUCGCAACCUGGGGCGGAAGUACGUCCCAAGGGUUGGGCUGUUCGCCCAUUAAAGCGGUACGUGAGCUGGGUUCAGAACGUCGUGAGACAGUUCGGUCCAUAUCCGAUGUAGGCGUGAGAAUAUUGAGAGGAGCCUUCCUUAGUACGAGAGGACCGGGAAGGACGCACCGCUGGUGUACCUGUUAUGAUGCCAAUUGUAAACGCAGGGUAGCCAAGUGCGGAGAGGAUAACCGCUGAAAGCAUCUAAGUGGGAAGCCCACCUCAAGAUGAGUAUUCUGGUGUAAGGUCACGGGAAGACGACCCGUAAAUAGGCACGAGGUGGAAGUGCAGAGAUGUAUGAAGCCGAAGUGUACUAAUAGACCGUCGGCUUGAC